CAAUAGCGUAUAUUUAAGUUGUUGCAGUUAAAAAGCUCGUAGUUGGAUUUCGGAUGGGACUUGCCGGUCCGUCGUUUCGAUGUGCACUGGCCAGUCCUAUCUUGUUGUCGGGGACUAGCUCCUGGGCUUCACUGUCCGGGACUAGGAGCUGACGAGGUUACUUUGAGUAAAUUAGAGUGUUCAAAGCAAGCCUACGCUCUGAAUACAUUAGCAUGGAAUAACACGAUAGGACUCUGACUUAUCUUGUUGGUCUGUGAGACCAGAGUAAUGAUUAAGAGGGACAGUCGGGGGCAUUCGUAUUUCAUUGUCAGAGGUGAAAUUCUUGGAUUUAUGAAAGACGAACUUCUGCGAAAGCAUUUGUCAAGGAUGUUUUCAUUAA
rnacentral:rRNA from 1 species